rnacentral:SRP_RNA from 1 species
GCCAGGCUUGGUGGCGCAUGUCUGUAAUCCCAGCUACUUGGGAGGCUGAGGCAGAAGAAUCGCUUGAGCCCGGGAGGUGGUGGUUGCAGUGAGCCAAGAUCAUGCCACUGCAAUCCAGCCUGGGCAACAGAGCGAGACUCUGUCUCAA